AAACGACUCUCGGCAACGGAUAUCUCGGCUCUCGCAUCGAUGAAGAACGUAGCGAAAUGCGAUACUUGGUGUGAAUUGCAGAAUCCCGUGAACCAUCGAGUCUUUGAACGCAAGUUGCGCCCGAAGCCUUGGCUGAGGGCACGUCUGCCUGGGCG
rnacentral:rRNA from 2 species